UACGUAGGGGGCAAGCGUUAUCCGGAAUUACUGGGUGUAAAGGGAGCGUAGGUGGCAUGGUAAGCCAGAAGUGAAAACCCGGGGCUCAACCCCGCGGAUUGCUUUUGGAACUAUCAGGCUGGAGUGCUGGAGGGGUAAGCGGAAUUCCUAGUGUAGCGGUGAAAUGCGUAGAUAUUAGGAGGAACACCGGUGGCGAAGGCGGCUUACUGGACAGAAACUGACACUGAGGCUCGAAAGCGUGGGGAGCAAACAGG
rnacentral:rRNA from 1 species